CCCAAUGACCAGGGCAAGCUAGGCUUGGGCAGUCAUAUAUCUUCACUCAGAAAUUGCAACUAAAAAACACUGGGGAGGGGCAGGUGGCACAGUGGUUAAGUUCACACGUUCUGCUUCUCGGCGGCCUGGGGUUCGCUGGUUUGGAUCCCAGGUGCGGACAUGGCACCGCUUGGCAUGCCAUGCUGUGGUAGGCAUCCCACAUAUAAAGUAGAGGGAGAUGGGCACGGAUGUUAGGUCAGGGUCAGUCUUCCUCGGCAAAAAGAAGAGGAUUGGCAGCAGUUAGCUCAGGGCUAAUCUCCCUCAAAAAAAAAAAAAUACUGGGGAAACUGCAAAGGCGUGGGCCUUGUACAAGCUAAAGUUAAGACUGCAGAGAAAUUAAGAGAAAAAAGAGGAAGCUGUAGGGAGCAGAGAAGAGAGCUUCUGCACAGAGAAAGCAGGCGAGGUCCUACACCUACUUUCUAAGACGGUACCUUGCAAGUUUGGUAAAUGGCAUUGAGGAAAGGCAUGCAUGCACCCUUAAGACAGGAAUCAGCAAACUAUGACCCACAGGCCACAUAUAUUUCCACACCAGUGCUGAAUGGGGACAAUCACCCACUGACGCAGCAGCCUGCUCACGGGAGUCAGACCAAGGUACAGGAGCCAGAGCUUUCCAUAAAUGGCGGUGGAAAGGGUGGGGUCCUUGCAAUGUGACUUGAGGAAUCUCAAAGAGCCCACGCUGGGUCCCAUUCCCCAUUUGCUGGCUUAGAGGCCAAAUUCCCCUCGCUGAGUUUGGCUUACAACCAUGCCCUUUCUCCUUUCUUUCUCUUCUUUCUUCUCUGUGAAUUGGGAU
rnacentral:lncRNA from 1 species